rnacentral:rRNA from 1 species
AGGAUGAACGCUGGCGGCGUGCUUAACACAUGCAAGUCGAACGGUGAAAGAGAGCUUGCUCUCUGGAUCAGUGGCGAACGGGUGAGUAACACGUGAGCAACCUGCCCCUGGCUCUGGGAUAGCCUUCGGAAACGGGGAUUAAUACCGGAUAUUCACUGCUUCCUGCAGUGGGGGGUGGUGGUAAAGUUUUUCGGCUGGGGUGGGCUCGCGGCCUAUCAGCGUUGGUUGGGGGGUGACGGCCCACCAAGGCGACGACGGGUA